rnacentral:rRNA from 1 species
UGACCUGCCUGGUAGCGGGGGAUAACUAUUGGAAACGAUAGCUAAUACCGCAUAAUAGCAGUUAUUGCAUGAUAACUGUUUGAAAGGUGCAAUUGCAUCACUACCAGAUGGACCUGCGUUGUAUUAGCUAGUUGGUGGGGUAACGGCUCACCAAGGCGACGAUACAUAGCCGACCUGAGAGGGUGAUCGGCCACACUGGGACUGAGACACGGCCCAG